GGUGGCUCAGUGGCAGAGCUCUUGCCUUGCAUGCCUGAGGCCCUGGGUUCGAUUCCCCAGCACCA
rnacentral:tRNA from 1 species